GAUGACUGUCCUGUAGGCUUCAGUGUCCACCAUCUAUGGUAUAGGAGCCCAAGCAAGCUGGAUGGAGAUUUUACUUCUGUAGAUCUCCAGACUGUACUCAGCCACAGAUGAGAGCGAGCCAGACUGUGCAGAGCCAAAGGAGCCUAAGAAGAAGGGGACAAAGGUAGCAGGAAAGAACGAUGCUCUUCAAGUACAUUUACAGUGUUGAGAGCUAAGCAAUCCUGACUAUGCUCUACGGGCCUCUUUGUACCAUGCUUUCUAUGAGCCAUGUGUUCAAAAUAAGGGGAAGAGAGGGUUAUGAAUGUGGGUUGUAAAUAAUUGCAUAGAUAAAGCAAACCCCAGUGUACAAUUGGAUGGGGUAAACGCAUGUGACCCCCACCUUGGGAAAAGCUCCAUGGUGGGUGUAGCCUGGUGAAUGCUUUUUGCCGGUCAGAAGAUAAGAUGAAGAGACAAGUUUUGGAAGUCGAGAAGACGCAACUUAGCUGAAGCUUUUUGUUGUUAUUGUUAAGGAUUUACACCUUCCAGGACAAUUAAAAGCUGAACUGAAG
ensembl:lincRNA Gm26662 predicted gene, 26662